rnacentral:ncRNA from 1 species
AAAUGGGACUCCUUAUUACAAUGGGCUACGCAAAAAGAAAUUUUUGCGUGACUUCUAUCAAAUUCGGGGAAGCCUUUCACAUGGUAAUCCCGAGCCAAUUCUUCGCUCAUGAAAAGAGCAGGCUUGCCUGCCAAAGCAGAGCGAAGGCAGGUGUAGAGACUUAAUGGUAGACACCCUCAUCCACCACAGGCGGACGGGUGAAGAGAAAGUCCAGACCACAAAUUCCAACCAAAUUGGAA